GUUUUUGUUGUUGGUGAGAGGUGAGGGGAACAGCUGAUCCGUCUGUUGGGAGAACAGAUAUCUCAAGGCCAGGAUGGAAGAAUCACCACUAAGCCGGGCACCAUCCCGUGGUGGAGUCAACUUUCUCAAUGUAGCCCGGACCUACAUCCCCAACACCAAGGUGGAAUGUCACUACACCCUUCCCCCAGGCACCAUGCCCAGUGCCAGUGACUGGAUUGGCAUCUUCAAGGUAUCUCUGGAACCCCUUUUGGCUUAGGUUUAUGGGCUGUGGGUUGGUUGGAAUAAGGGGAAUGAUUGGGCUCUUGGAUUCUCAACCUCAGGUUGAUAGAGAAGAAGAGAGAAAGAUGUCACAGAUGACAGAGGCCACCUGUAUAACCAAAGCACAUAUUUUCUCCAUCUUAGCCUUGUUCUUUACUGACACAUUAGUGUCCCUCCACUUUCCCUUUCUCUUGUCAUUGUUGCCACUGUAGCUCCAUCCUGCCCCCCUUAUUCAACCCCUCAGCCCUUUCUUCCAUCCAUAGAAGGUAGUUCCAUGACCAUACCUUUCUCCAACCUUGGGCUUUCACAGGUGGAGGCUGCCUGUGUUCGGGAUUACCACACAUUUGUGUGGUCUUCCGUGCCUGAAAGUACAGCUGAUGGUUCCCCCAUUCACACCAGUGUCCAGUUCCAAGGUACAAGGGAAGAUGGAAAAUUGGGAGAGAGGAGCCAAGGGAGUGGAGGUUUGAAAGAAGGU
rnacentral:sRNA from 1 species